rnacentral:rRNA from 1 species
CAGCAGCCGCGGUAAUACGUAGGUGGCAAGCGUUGUCCGGAAUUAUUGGGCGUAAAGGGCUCGCAGGCGGUUUCUUAAGUCUGAUGUGAAAGCCCCCGGCUCAACCGGGGAGGGUCAUUGGAAACUGGGAAACUUGAGUGCAGAAGAGGAGAGUGGAAUUCCACAUGUAGCGGUGAAAUGCGUAGAGAUGUGGAGGAACACCAGUGGCGAAGGCGACUCUCUGGUCUGUAACUGACGCUGAGGAGCGAAAGCGUGGGGAGCGAACAGGAUUAGAUACCCCAGUAGUCCCUGUCUCUUAUAC